AGCGAACGCUGGCGGCAGGCCUAACACAUGCAAGUCGAACGAAGCCUUCGGGCUUAGUGGCGGACGGGUGAGUAACACGUGGGAACGUACCUUUUGGUUCGGAACAACUCAGGGAAACUUGAGCUAAUACCGGAUGAGCCCUUAGGGGGAAAGAUUUAUCGCCGAAAGAGCGGCCCGCGUUAGAUUAGCUAGUUGGUGAGGUAAAGGCUCACCAAGGCAACGAACUAUAGCUGGUCUGAGAGGAUGAUCAGCAACACUGGGACCGAGACACGGCCCAGACUCCAACGGGAGGCAGCAGAGGGGAAUCUUGCGCAAUGGGCGAAAGCAUGACGCAUCCAUGCCGCGUGAAAGAUGAAGGUCUUAGGAUUGUAAAAUUCUUUUACCAGGGACGAUAAUGACGGUACCUGGAGAAAAAGCCCCGGCUAACUACGUGCCAGCAGCCGCGGUAACAC
rnacentral:rRNA from 1 species